rnacentral:hammerhead_ribozyme from 1 species
GUGCUAAUGAGGAGUCCCACAACAGGACGAAACGGUCGUCUAGUGC